rnacentral:rRNA from 1 species
CGGAGGAUCAUUAAUGAAUUGUGAUGGGGUUUGAUGCUGGCGGCCGUCUAGUUUGGCCGUAUGUGCUCGCUUCCAACAAUCUUUAUCCAAACACCUGUGCACUUCUGAGGGCUUCUGAGUUGACCACGUCCAUGUCGAUGUGGUUUUCUUGGAUUCCCUUCAUAACAUACCCGAAUUGUAAUGCUGAAUGUGAUUGUGCCGUAAGGCCUUAAUAAAAUACAACUUUUAACAACGGAUCUCUUGGCUCUCGCAUCGAUGAAGAACGCAGCGAAAUGCGAUAAGUAAUGUGAAUUGCAGAAUUCAGUGAAUCAUCGAAUCUUUGAACGCACCUUGCGCUCCCUGGUAUUCCGGGGAGCACGCCUGUUCGAGUGUCGUGAAUACCCUCAAGCUUUGGUGCUUUUUCCUUUAAAAGUAUCCAGUGGCUUGGUUGUUGGGCUUUGCCGUGGUCCUUCAUUGGAACGGCUGGCCUUAAAGGCAUUAGCUAGCCCUCAUGUAGUGUUGGUUCUACUUGGCGUGAUAAUAAUCUGACCGCUGAGGACAUCUUUCGGGAUGGCCAGUCUCAUUUGGGCUGCUCCUAAUCCGGUUUUGUGGGUUCUUGAAUCCACUCCAUUCUCGACUUUGACCUCGAAUCAGGUGGGACUACCCGCUGAACUUAAGCAUAUCAAUAAGCGGAGGAAAAGAAACUAACAAGGAUUCCCCUAGUAACGGCGAGUGAAGCGGGAAGAGCUCAAAUUUAAAAUCUGGCAGCAUUGGCUGUCCGAAUUGUAAUCUAGAGAAGCGUUUUCCGCGCUGGACUGUGUAUAAGUUUCCUGGAUACGGAACAUCAUAGAGGGUGAGAAUCCCGUCUUUGACACAGACUACCAGUGCUUUGUGAUGCGCUCUCGACGAGUCGAGUUGUUUGGGAUUGCAGCUCAAAACGGGAGGUAAAUUCCUUCUAAAGCUAAAUAUUGGCGAGAGACCGAUAGCGAACAAGUACCGUGAGGGAAAGAUGAAAAGCACUUUGGAAAGAGAGUUAAACAGUACGUGAAAUUGUUAAAAGGGAAACGCUUGAAGUCAGUCGCAUCUGUUUGGACUCAGCCUCACUUCGGUUUGGUGCAUUUCCUUAUAGAUGGGCCAGCGUCCAUGUUGUCUGUCGGAAAAGGGGUGAAAGAAUGUGGCUCCUCCGGGAGUGUUAUAGCUUUUACUCGUAUGCGAGGGAUGAUAUGGAGUGGUACAGCAUGCUUCNGUGGUGCUUGUGCUGGCAUAAUGGCUUUAAACGACCCGUCUUGAAACACGGACCAAGGAGUCUAACAUAUCUGCGAGUGNUUGGGUGGAAAACCCGAGCGCAAAAUGAAAGUGACAGCUGGNAAUCCCUUAUGGGAGGCACCGGUACCCCGAGCUGACCUUUCUGUGACGCAUC